AGGGGUAUAGCUUAGUAGUAGAGCAUUUGACUGUAGAUUUAAAAACAUGUACUUAAGGUAAAGUGAGGCAGAAAUCUUCAAAAAUUAUUCUACCUCUU
rnacentral:tRNA from 1 species